GACGAACGCUGGCGGCGUGUCUAACACAUGCAAGUCGAGCGAGAGGAGUUCCUUCGGGAACAAAUCUAGCGGCGGACGGGUGAGUAACACGUGGGCAACCUGCCUUGUAGAGGGGAAUAGCCUUCCGAAAGGAAGAUUAAUACCGCAUAACAUUACAUUUUCGCAUGAAGAAGUAAUUAAAGGAGCAAUCCGCUACAAGAUGGGCCCGCGGCGCAUUAGCUAGUUGGUGAGGUAACGGCUCACCAAGGCGACGAUGCGUAGCCGACCUGAGAGGGUGAUCGGCCACAUUGGGACUGAGACACGGCCCAGACUCCUACGGGAGGCAGCAGUGGGGAAUAUUGCACAAUGGGGGAAACCCUGAUGCAGCAACGCCGCGUGAGUGAUGAAGGUUUUCGGAUCGUAAAGCUCUGUCUUCAGGGACGAUAAUGACGGUACCUGAGGAGGAAGCCACGGCUAACUACGUGCCAGCAGCCGCGGUAAUACGUAGGUGGCGAGCGUUGUCCGGAUUUACUGGGCGUAAAGGGAGCGUAGGCGGAUUUUUAAGUGAGAUGUGAAAUACCCGGGCUCAACUUGGGUGCUGCAUUUCAAACUGGAAGUCUAGAGUGCAGGAGAGGAGAGUGGAAUUCCUAGUGUAGCGGUGAAAUGCGUAGAGAUUAGGAAGAACACCAGUGGCGAAGGCGACUCUCUGGACUGUAACUGACGCUGAGGCUCGAAAGCGUGGGGAGCAAACAGG
rnacentral:rRNA from 1 species